rnacentral:lncRNA from 1 species
CGAGAAGCAGAUAUUGUUUUGACUGUAUCGAGAUUCAUGUUGUGGUGGCAGAAUCCCAACUUUUCCACAGCUGCUGCUGACAGCUUCAGCAAGACAUACCCACUAGCAAAUGGCGUCUUUCCAAGAAGUUCCACUGAUCCAGGUGACAAGCUGGAGCAUGCUGAGAGCAAAGGCAGACAACUCAGCAGAGAAGGAAUGCAAGAAGGAGACGUAGUGGCUGUGUGUGCAUGUGAGACGCAGGGAAGCAACUUUAGGGAGCAGCUAGGGAGCCUCCAUGGCUGCAUCCAGAUGUCGCUUACUUAUUCCUCUAAAUUUGGAUAUUCUGGAAUAAAGCAUGGAUAUUCCAGAAUAUAGCAUCUCUAUCAAUGUGCAAAUCCCUUUUUAAUUUAACACACCCCUUCAUGAAUCAAUGCAUGUUAGAGAUUGGAAGGCAAUUGCUUCUUCUCAAGCAGAGUUAUAGCCCAACGUCUUAGGCUGUUUCUGCACUCCCUACCUCCACCACCCCAGUGGAAUAGGCAACCCAUCCCAAGCUGGGACAUACUGCUUCUGGCAAAGAAUCAAACUGUCCACAUUGGGAUGUACUGUUCUGUUCCAGCACCAACUCCAAGGCUCAUGUCAGCUCUGGAUCUGGCAUGGGACGAGGAGCUCCAAAUGCUCCAAAGGUCAGGAAAGAGAGAUUCUGGCCUUUGGAGUACCCGAGGUCCCCAUUUUGGUAGUAUGUCUUGUUGUGCCACUGACAUAGGUUUCCAUAGUAUACCAGACCAUGGAGGUAUGCUGUCUGUACAUCUCUGUGGUCCAGUGUANNACUCCCUAGUAUGCUGGUAGACCAUGACAUUCAAGUCUACAGGUAGUCCGGAUGAGAGCAGAGUGUACUAAGAUGGGGCAAGCUUCCCUUAAACUCCACCAAUGAGUGGAAGGGAAAGCCCAUAGACCCUUUCUUUUUUCACAUUUAUGUCAAGUGCGGAGAAGCANUUAGGUUCUGAUCAACCACCAGAAUGGCAACAGUAUCUUUAAGGAUGAUGUUAGAAAGGAGCAGUGGAGCAAUAAAACAAAUCUGCUAUUUAAAAUGGAGAUGAAG